rnacentral:lncRNA from 12 species
AAAAUCUUCUGCAAGAGAAUCUACAUGCUUCCUCUUGGCCAUAAGCCCAGAUAGCAGAAGGCUGUAAGGAGGCUCUAGGAGACAGUAGGCAAUCCAAAUGGAAGGCGCAUGAGUCAGAGUCACUACCUGGAGGGUAGCUGUUCAGAGAGCCACCAACUAGGAAUAUCCUCACUGGACUUUGAGGGAAUGAACGGAUCAGUGCUUAGGUAAAUUUUUACAUUGAGUCGCUGAGAUAUUUGUGGGGUUUUCUUGUUUCUGAUUUGUUUUCAUUUUUGUCAUAGCAACCAGCAUUAAUGAAUCUACUGUUUGGUAUUGCUACCUAAUAUUUGGAACUAGAUAAAUAGAUAUGUAUCGUGCAUGUCCUGAUACAUCAAACCCAUUGACUAGAUAGUGGGAAAGGCAAUAUGUUGAUAAAUGGGUGAACUGGGGAGAGAAUAUGAACACGUUUUAAUGCCUGCUAAGGCAUUUAGUUAUUGUGUUUUAAGCAAUAAAAUGCUAAUAGCCUUUUUUUUUUUUUCCAGCAGGACAGUGACAAGAUGAACAAGGACUGCCAAAUACUUUUCUCUCUCUCUCUCUGCCCACACUUUGCUACCUAACAUCAUGCUGUGAUCACCGGUGGUGUUUCAUAAAUAACUCCUUACAUAAAGGCAGGAUGGAGCUGUGUGGAAUGGUGCUGUCAGUACCUUCAUCGUUCUGCUGUUCUUAGCAGCUGUGUGAUUUUCAAUCUUUAUUAAUUACGUGUGUUGCUUUGAGCUAUGGUGUUGGAAAUUCUUACCUGAAUUUGGUUCACUGUCUGUAGCUUUACUCUGCCCCCUUUUAACCCUCUUCAAGGGAUGCACCUGUUCUCUGCUUGUCUUUGGAAGGACUCCCUGAAAUAGCUCCAGACUAUGAAAUGCAUCUCUAUUGAUUCCUGGAGAAUUCAAUCAGCAGAAAGUCAGCCUAGAUCUGAUGUGAAGUUUGCAUGGUCUCUUCUCCCUUCUGGAAUCAGGGACACAUCAUCUCUUAAGGAUUACUUAUUAAAAUGUGCUUCAUCCUUGGUUUAUUUCCUCUCAUACCAGUGCCAAUGGUUUCCCGAAGCUGUCACUACUACAGCAGGAGAAGUUUCUACAGAAAUUCCUGGAGCUGGGGUGCCUGGGUGGCUCCAUGGUUGAGCAUCUGCCUUCAGCUCAGGUCGUGAUCCUGGGGUCCUGGGAUUGAGUCCCGCAUCAGGUUCCCUGAAGGGAGCCUGCUUCUCCCUCUGCCUGUGUCUCUCAUGAAUAAAUAAAUAAAAUCUUAAAAAAAAAAAAAGAAA